AGCGAACGCUGGCGGCGUGCCUAACACAUGCAAGUCGAACGUGAAAAGGGAAACCUGAGUAAAGUGGCGUACGGGUGAGUAACGCGUAGGUAAUCUACCCCAGAAUCUGGAAUAACCUGCCGAAAGGCGGGCUAAUACUGGAUAGAGCGAGGGAACUCGUAAGAGAGUUUUUCGGGAAAGGGAGCCCGCAAGGGCCUUCGUUCUGGGAUGAGCCUGCGUCUCAUUAGCUAGUUGGUAAGGUAACGGCUUACCAAGGCGAUGAUGAGUAGCUGGUCUGAGAGGAGGACCGGCCAACUGGGACCUGAACCACGGCCAAAACUCCUAGGGGAGGCAGCGGGGGGAAUCUUGCGCAAUGGACGAAAGUCUGACGCAGCCACGCCGCGUGAGUGAAGAAGGCCUUCGGGUUGUAAAGCUCUGUCGGAUGGGACGAACAUCUUCAUAGUGAAUAGCUAUGAGGACUGACGGUACCAUCAAAGGAAGCACCGGCUAACUCCGUG
rnacentral:rRNA from 1 species